UGGGGAAUAUUGGGCAAUGGGGGAAACCCUGACCCAGCAACGCCGCGUGAAGGAAGAAGGCCUUCGGGUUGUAAACUUCUUUUACCAGGGACGAAGAACGUGACGGUACCUGGAGAAAAAGCAACGGCUAACUACGUGCCAGCAGCCGCGGUAAUACGUAGGUUGCAAGCGUUGUCCGGAUUUACUGGGUGUAAAGGGCGUGUAGGCGGAGAUGCAAGUUGGGAGUGAAAUCCCGGGGCUCAACCCCGGAACUGCUUUCAAAACUGCAUCCCUUGAGUAUCGGAGAGGCAAGCGGAAUUCCUAGUGUAGCGGUGAAAUGCGUAGAUAUUAGGAGGAACACCAGUGGCGAAGGCGGCUUGCUGGACGACAACUGACGCUGAGGCGCGAAAGCGUGGGGAGCAAAC
rnacentral:rRNA from 1 species